CGUAGGGGCGAGCGUUAUCCGGAAUCACUGGGCGUAAAAGGGCGUCUAGGCGGCCCGCCAAGUCUCGUGUGAAAUCUCCCGGCUCAACUGGGAGGGUGCACGGGAAACUGGCGGGCUUGAGACACGGAGGGGGGUGCGGAAUUCCCGGUGGAGCGGUGGAAUGCGUUGAGAAUCGGGAGGAACACCUGAGGCGAAGGCGGCACCCUGGCCGAAGUCUGACGCUGAAGCGCGACAGCGUGGGGAGCGAACGGGAUU
rnacentral:rRNA from 1 species